GAUGAACGCUGGCGGCGUGCUUAACACAUGCAAGUCGAACGAAGCACCUUAUUCUGAUUUCUUCGGAAUGAAAAAUUUGGUGACUGAGUGGCGGACGGGUGAGUAACGCGUGGGUAACCUGCCUCAUACAGGGGGAUAACAGUUAGAAAUGACUGCUAAUACCGCAUAAGACCACAGCACCGCAUGGUGCAGGGGUAAAAACUCCGGUGGUAUGAGAUGGAACCGCGUCUGAUUAGGGAGUUGGUGGGGUAACGGCCUACCAAGCCGACGAGCAGUAGCCGACCUGAGGGGGUGACCGGCCACAUUGGGACUGUGACACGGCCCAAACUCCUACGGGGGGCAGCAGUGGGGAAUAUUGCACAAUGGGGGAAACCCUGAUGCAGCGACGCCGCGUGAGCGAUGAAGUAUUUCGGUAUGUAAAGCUCUAUCAGCAGGGAAGAAAAUGACGGUACCUGACUAAGAAGCACCGGCUAAAUACGUGCCAGCCGCCGCAGUAA
rnacentral:rRNA from 1 species